GUGGCCAGCAAUCCCACGUAGCUGGUGCACUUGUUGGACGGGACCUCACAGAACGUGAGGCAAAUGAUUGUCUCGAAUGUUGCAGUACUGACAAUUGUAACAAAUACCUUUGCGAACAAUUGAAACUUGACGGAAAUUGGGCAGAAUGGUCUCAGUGGUCAGCUUGUGAUGUCACUUAUAAUAAUGGUACCCAAACUAGGACACGAACGUGCACGAACCCAGCUCCUGUCAAUAGUGGACUGGAUUGUACAGGAAAUGACACAGAUUAAAAAACCUGCAAAAAGGAGGAGCUUUGUCCAGUUCAUGGAGGAUGGAGUAACUGGGAGCAUUGGGAAUCUUGUUCAGUCACGUGUGGUUAUGGGAUUCGAUAACGACACCGAAAUUGCUCAAACCCAUACCCUGAAAGGUAUGGGGAUCAUUGUUUCGGUGAAGGAAUGGAUGAUAGAUUGUGCAUGUCUGUUCCUUGUGCAAGUAAGGACGGUUUAUAUUCCUUUGCAAAUUUCAUGCAUGCCGCUUCAUAUUAAACUAUCAGAGAAUGACGAACGAAAAUAUAUUUCAGAACGUAUAACUGUUUUUAAAAAACAAUUCUUCUUAUGACAUGUUUACUGGUGUCUCUUUUGGUUGAUAACUGUUUCUGAUGAGCCCGCCCGCUAAAUUCAAUAGGAAUCUACAGAUCGCGGGGUCGUGAGUUCGAUUUCCGCGCGAGGCGUAAUUUCUUCAUGACGAUUUGAUGAAAGAUUUUGUCUGAAAUCAUUAGUCCUCCACCUCUGAUUCAUGUGGGGAAGGUGUCAGUUACUUGCGGAGAACAGAUUAGUACUUUUACAGAAUCCAGGAACACUGAUCAGGUUAACUUACCGCCGUUACAUAACUGAAAUACUGUUGAAAAACGGCGCUAAACCCAAAACAAACAAAUAUUUUUUUGCUAACAAGGGUGAUUCAGUAAAUUCUGUCAUUGGUCUUCGUAUAUCUGAUUUAUAAAUCAGAUCAUGGCAAUUGUCACGUCAUCCAUUUAAAGUAUUCUCCCUGCACAGAAACAGAAUUUUGCAGUCUUGCUAUUUAUGACCUAAAUGCUGCAAAGUGGUCUUCCUUAUAUAUACUGUUGAAACACUGAAAACUUGCAAAGCCAGUGGCACUUUUUCAGCAACAGAAAUAGAAAAAAAAAACACAAGGGCUUUGGUCAAGAGAAAAUGGUGGGUGCUCAUGCAGUCUGAAUAACUUUUUCUUGUUCUAAGAAUGUCUGUUCAGUUUGACAUUUGUGGGCGGAGGCAUUAUUAUAAAUAAGCAGUAUGCAUUUCAGACCUAUACUAAGGCUUAAAUUUUGAUAGAAUUUUUGAAAGCGUUAAGUACUUUUUGUACAACUUGCCAUUGAUGGUUUAAUCCCCUUUGCAAGGAAUUUGUACAAAGGGGCCACUAGAGUUGAAGAAAAUUCUUGGAUUGUUUUUGUCCUUUUUUGCAAUAUCCGGCUUUGCCUACGUUUUACUCCAGUAUUGUUUGUUAUCUACUCGUCGCUGGGCCUCAUAAUAAUUUACCAAGUAAACAACUCAGAACAUUUCUUGGAAUUACAUUUUUAAUGUGAAUCAGCAGUUUUUGACGCAGUCUAAACGCUUUGACUUUUGGUCAUGAGUCAAUAAAUGUCACAAUAGCACAAACCUUCUUUAAUUUCAAACUGUCGGUCAGAAUAUGAUGAACGAUCCCUUCUUAAAUAUGCCUAUAGUGUGAUAAUAGUAUAUCGACCAUCAUUCUUCUAUGUACCUUUUUCUUUGUUACUGCAACAACAUGCCUGCCAGGACGGAUACGGUCUUGAAGACUAUUUUUACACCCUUGACUCUUUACCAACCGCAAAGAUGUUCUUAACUUCACUAUAUAACUACCAUGGAUACGACAAAAUUCAGAUAAUAAUUUUUUGGAGUUACCCUGAAAGAAACCUGGGCUUUAAUGUUAACUCUAAUUUCUAAUUUUCUUCACGUUUCAUUAAAUAUAGCCACUGUACAACAAUGGAAAACUUUGUCAACUGUAACUGAAAUAAAUGGAUAUCUCACAGGUAGAAUAUGAAACGUGAAACUUUCAUGCUGUUAUAUACAAUGGUAUCUUUGGGAGACAUUAAGUGACAGCAUUUUUUAAAAAUCACCAUCGUACUUGUAAAUAUAAUGAUUUUUGUUUGGUUUGGCGUAACACUGACACAAGUUUAUGUCAUAUGGUGAGUUUCCAGCUUCUGAUGGUUGAAGAAGACCCUGGGUGCGCAUCUGAGCAUUAUAUACGACACGGGCGGGUACCUCGGUAGAACCACUUAGGUUCCGUAAGCCAGCGUGGUGGCCUACUCAUACGUAAAAUUCUUCACACCAAGCGAGUUUUUGAACCAACAGCGGUGAAGUGCAAGUGAUUUGAAGUCAACCGCCUUAGCAACUCGGCCACGGAGGCCCCUUAAGUAAUGAAAUGACAAGAAAAAUAGUUGUUUUAAAAAGGGUUAUUAACGGGAUUGUUCUAUAUUCAUUCGAAAUGCAAUCAUUAUAAUUAUUAUCUUGUUAAUUUUCCAUUGCAGUGUCAGCAGCAUACAGGACUACACAUAUUUCUGACUGACUAUUUUAAAUGAUUUUUUUUUGUAUUAUGUAAACCGUUUUAAAUAUGAGUAGAUAACUUGUGAAAAUUAAUACUUAGCACGCAAAUACUUUCAGUUUUGUGUAUUAAUUGUUUAAAUUUCAUGAACAGCAUAUAUUUAACAUGUUCAUCUAAUUUAUUAGGAAUGCACGUAUUAUUUAGAAAGGAAAAUUACUUAAAUUGUUCUGGCGCUGUAAUGAAAAUAUAUUUUUUUCGGAUAAACACUUGUUGUUUUAUAAAUCAGCAUUAUUAUAUUAGCUGGUUAAAUU